AACUACUGGAAACGGUGGCUAAUACCGCAUAACGUCGCAAGACCAAAGAGGGGGACCUUCGGGCCUCUUGCCAUCAGAUGUGCCCAGAUGGGAUUAGCUUGUUGGUGAGGUAACGGCUCACCAAGGCGACGAUCCCUAGCUGGUCUGAGAGGAUGACCAGCCACACUGGAACUGAGACACGGUCCAGACUCCUACGGGAGGCAGCAGUGGGGAAUAUUGCACAAUGGGCGCAAGCCUGAUGCAGCCAUGCCGCGUGUAUGAAGAAGGCCUUCGGGUUGUAAAGUACUUUCAGCGGGGAGGAAGGUGUUGUGGUUAAUAACCGCAGCAAUUGACGUUACCCGCAGAAGAAGCACCGGCUAACUCCGUGCCAGCAGCCGCGGUAAUACGGAGGGUGCAAGCGUUAAUCGGAAUUACUGGGCGUAAAGCGCACGCAGGCGGUCUGUCAAGUCGGAUGUGAAAUCCCCGGGCUCAACCUGGGAACUGCAUUCGAAACUGGCAGGCUUGAGUCUUGUAGAGGGGGGUAGAAUUCCAGGUGUAGCGGUGAAAUGCGUAGAGAUCUGGAGGAAUACCGGUGGCGAAGGCGGCCCCCUGGACAAAGACUGACGCUCAGGUGCGAAAGCGUGGGGAGCAAACAGGAUUAGAUACCCUGGUAGUCCACGCCGUAAACGAUGUCUACUUGGAGGUUGUGCCCUUGAGGCGUGGCUUCCGGAGCUAACGCGUUAAGUAGACCGCCUGGGGAGUACGGCCGCAAGGUUAAAACUCAAAUGAAUUGACGGGGGCCCGCACAAGCGGUGGAGCAUGUGGUUUAAUUCGAUGCAACGCGAAGAACCUUACCUGGUCUUGACAUCCACAGAACUUUCCAGAGAUGGAUUGGUGCCUUCGGGAACUGUGAGACAGGUGCUGCAUGGCUGUCGUCAGCUCGUGUUGUGAAAUGUUGGGUUAAGUCCCGCAACGAGCGCAACCCUUAUCCUUUGUUGCCAGCGGUCCGGCCGGGAACUCAAAGGAGACUGCCAGUGAUAAACUGGAGGAAGGUGGGGAUGACGUCAAGUCAUCAUGGCCCUUACGACCAGGGCUACACACGUGCUACAAUGGCGCAUACAAAGAGAAGCGACCUCGCGAGAGCAAGCGGACCUCAUAAAGUGCGUCGUAGUCCGGAUUGGAGUCUGCAACUCGACUCCAUGAAGUCGGAAUCGCUAGUAAUCGUGGAUCAGAAUGCCACGGUGAAUACGUUCCCGGGCCUUGUACACACCGCCCGUCACACCAUGGGAGUGGGUUGCAAAAGAAGUAGGUAGCUUAACCUUCGGGAGGGCGCUUACCACUUUGUGAUUCAUGACUGGGGUGAAGUCGUAACAAGGUAACCGUAGGGGAACCUGCGGUUGGAUCACCUCCUUACCUUAAAGAA
rnacentral:rRNA from 2 species